rnacentral:ncRNA from 1 species
AGGUCUUGGUCUUGAACCUCCUAUUACCUCUACCCCCUAAUUAUACAUGCAAGCCUCACCACAACAGUGAAACAACCCACCACAAUCAAACAUGGAGUUGGUAUCAGGCUCCCGCCCACAACACCAAGCAACAGCCACACCCCCACGGGCUAGCAGCAGUAGCUAAUAUUAGGCCAUAAGCACCUCAGCUUGACCUAGUAAGGGGGUUUUAAGGGCCGGUUAAUCUCGUGCCAGCGACCGCGGUUACACGACAGACCCAAGAUAAUAGUACCGGCGUAAAGCACGACCAGAAAACAGUUCAACAUGUUGGGAUGAAAUCAAACCAGGCUGUAAAAAGCCAUAAGCCCCUCUAACCCCACCCCAAUAUACAAACCACUUCAACUCGUGAAAACAGGAAUACAAACUAAGAUUAGAUACCUUACUAUGCCUAACCUAACACACAAUAAAUUACCAAUUGUUCGCCAAACAACUACGAGUAAAAACUUAAAACUUAAAAGACUUGACGGUACUUCACACCACCCUAGAGGAGCCUGUCUAAUAACCGAUACCCCACGAUUAACCCCACCCCCCCUAGCCUAACAGUCUAUAUACCGCCAUCGCCAGCUUACCUUGUGAAAGAAACAAAGUAAACACAACAGCCACCACUAAUACGAUAGGUCGAGGUGUAACUCAUGGGGGGGAAAGAGAUGGGCUACAUUUUCUAAUACAGAAAAUACGAACUGACUAUGAAAAUAGAAACCGAAGGCGGAUUUAGCAGUACAUUAAGGACAUAAUGCUUAAUUGAAACAAAUGCAAUGAAGUGCGUACACACCGCCCGUCAUCCCUGUAAAAAACCACAAACAUCCAUAAAACCACUUAACCAACCAAACAGGGCAAGUCGUAACAUGGUAAGCGUACUGGAAAGUGCGCUUA